UACGUAGGGAGCAAGCGUUGUCCGGAUUUACUGGGUGUAAAGGGUGCGUAGGCGGCUCUGCAAGUCAGGCGUGAAAACUAUGGGCUUAACCCAUAGACUGCGUUUGAAACUGUGGGGCUUGAGUGAAGUAGAGGUAGGCGGAAUUCCCGGUGUAGCGGUGAAAUGCGUAGAGAUCGGGAGGAACACCAGUGGCGAAGGCGGCCUACUGGGCUUUAACUGACGCUGAAGCACGAAAGCAUGGGUAGCAAACAGGAUUAGAUACC
rnacentral:rRNA from 1 species